GUUAAACACAACACUUUAAUGUAAUUAAAAGACGUUUACAAAAUACUCUUAUUUUAAGAAGUGUUUCUUGCAAAUCCAUAAGGCUAAAAUCUAUUUAAUUGAUGUAAUAAGAGGAUGAACUUUAUAAAUUAAUUAUAAAGUGAUAAAAUUAUGUUAUAUGCAAAAAGGGAAAAUAUAUAUGGCUGCAAUUGUCAAGUUUGUUAAUAUUAUUAUUAUUAUCUUUCUUUUCUUAUUCCUUGUUGCAACGAAUGUUGUAGGUAGAAAAUGUUUUACUGAAUCUGAUUGUCCAAGAACUAUGUGCCCAAUUACUAAGCUGUUGCAGUGUAUUAGAAAACAAUGUGUGUGUGUUACUAAUUGGAACAUCCAUGCUCCCACAUGAUUCCUAGUGCCAGAUAUCCAUGAGCUACACAUACACACUACAAUAGUAUUCUAUGAGAUGUUAUUUAAUUAUUGUGUUUGUAUUCAAUAAUUUUCAUUUUUCUUUCUUUUUCUAA